UUUAUCACUUCUCUUGGGAUGGUCAAGGGCUGCCUAGAUAUCAAGAGCUCCUGGAUUAGAUUGAUAAAUAUCUCCACCUCUCACACAUGAGGCUGACUAUGUGUGAUUUGAGGGUUUCUGUGAUGUCUUCCGAGGGGAAGGGGGUACCUAUGCCUGAGCCUGCAUUUCUGUACCUGUUUUCAUUGUAACCUGAGACGCACAACAGGCAUCUUCACCACCCAAGAAGAUGCUGAAGUAACGAAGAAAAGAGAAGAAAAGGAAUGGAGAGGAAACUAGCAAUUAGUAAGCCACCUGCUGGAUACUUCUCUUUGCCAGCUUGCAAGAACUCUUACAUUCAUCUCUUCUUCGUUGAAGUAUACAGCAUGUUAUGAAGAACUAUAUUCACCAUAAUGUACAUUGAAGAGGCUCUAUUCCUUCUCUCCCGCCAAGCUGAAGUAUUACACCCUUCCAGCAAGGCUUCCUGUGACUGGAGGUGCUUCCCCACCUCCAGUCUUUGGUAACUACUUUUCUACUGGGUGCUUCUACUGAAUUUGAUUUGUUAAAACUAUAGCUCCAUCUUGGUCCACAUUCACCCGAUAAAAGGAAGUUCUGCAGCUGUCGGGAUCCAGAAUGGUGGACUGAACUUUCUCAGGAGAUCACUAAGAAACCAGAUGUCAUUGUCAAAAUCAACCAGAUUCCAGAGAGAUAGGAUUUAAAAAAAAGUAGAAGUCUAAACUGGAAAAACCACCAUGAAGAAAUAACGACAUUUACCUUCAACAGUCUUUAAAAUGGACAUAGCUCAGAGUUGUAUUAUCAUCCAUUUGAUUUAAACCCUACUGUAAGGACCAGCUACAAACCCAUUUGGAUUUCAUUUAGUUUGCCCACAGUUAAUUAGUGUUCUGGUAAGAGGAUGAUCUCCCACUUGUGGGAUCUAGCUUGGGAACCACGGAAGGAAUUAUUUUAUAUGGAUACACUCAAAGUUCCAAGAAAUAGCUGUGUCACAAACCCUCUGAACAUGACUUCUGAGCUGGUGACAGCAUCUGCUGCCUGGGACUGGCUUACAGUAUACGGCAAACGAAGGAGGCAGGCAUGUGAUCUCUGUGUAACAGAAGGGAUUCUAACAUGGCUUUUGAAACAAUCUUGUUUCUAGCUCACGGGAUAGCCAAUUAACAGUGCUAGGAACGGUUCAAGGCAACGCCCGGCAGUGCCAGCGUGCUUUCGCUUACUGUUGUGAGGAGCGGUCAUCCUCUGUCGAUAAGAAGGGUGAGAAAAUAGGACCCAGAAAAGCACAAAGUGCACAUAUGCACAGCCACAUCUCCAUCUUCAUCAUCUUGAGAACUAGUAAUCAUUGCCAGUGGGAAGAGAAUGAAAAACAGGAGCCCAGUUGGGUCAGUCAAUAGCUACCUACCCAGGAUAAAUUGCUAAUCACAAGCCCAGCUAGCACGGGUUGAUAAAUAACAAGGUUACUUGACCCGAGGAAAGGACCUGUUUUCUCUCAUGUUGGUAAUUACAUCAAUUCAGAGGGAGACAAGUUGGCUUUCAGCGGCUUAGAGCCAGAUGAUGUUGUAAAUCAAUUACACGUUCUCAGAUCCCUCUCACAGGGUUGCCGAGCCCGUGUAUAUCCAGCAGCUGAUUCCAGUUUGUGUUUGCUGAGUUGAUUGGUGAUAGCCUCUGAGGCCAGUGUGUAUUUGUCCAGAAGGCUUGGGCUCCAGCGCAGGCACAACUCUGUUUCUGGGCUUUAUCUUGCAUACCUGAGGAUCUUGUUGAAAUGCAAAUCCUUAUUCAAUAGUGGUGUGUGUGUGUAUGUAUAUGUGUGUGUAUGUGUGUGGUGUGAUGUGUCUGGUGUGUACAUGUGC